GUCUGCGUAGCUCAGUCGGUUAGAGUGUAGGUCUCAUAUCUACAAUUUCCAUACGGAGAAAUCCUAAGGUCGCGAGUUCGAUCCUCGCCGCGGACA
rnacentral:tRNA from 1 species